UCAGAUGGCCAUGCCACCCUGAACACCCCCGAUCCCAUUUGAUCUCGGAAGCUAAGUAGGGUCGGGCCUGAUUAGUACUUGAAUGGGAGACCAUCUCAAAAGACCAAGUGCUGUCGGUG
rnacentral:rRNA from 1 species